AGUGCGUAAUAGCUCACUGGUCGAGUGAUCCUGCGCCGAAGAUUUCCGGGGCUAAAACUUACUACCGAAGCUACGGCAUCAGUAAUGAUGGGUAGGGGAGCUUCCCAUACGGGUUGAAGCAUGACCGUAAGGACAUGUGGACAGUAUGGGAGUGAGAAUGUUGGCAUGAGUAGCGAGAUGUGGGUGAGAAUCCCACAGGCCGUAAACCCAA
rnacentral:rRNA from 1 species